rnacentral:misc_RNA from 1 species
UUCGAUAAAGAAUUUCGUAACAGCUGAUCGAUUUGACUUGGAACUGUAUUAAGCAGACUGGUCUCGGGUCCAAGACCUAUACACAAAACAAGGUUUGAACCAAAGAUUAUGACGACGUCACAAACAGCGUGGUCAAUCGUGCUCCGAUUAUUUUUACUACUAACUGUAGCCUCUCUACUCAUACCAUCCGCCCGAGGAUACGUUCUGCCAAAUUUAGACACAGUCCCAGAGGAAUCGAUGCUUCCGGAGGUUCAAGACAGUGACUACAAAGCCAACAGAGUAGCCGACAAAAUAGUACAAGUUUUAUUAGAAUCCAGAAAGGUCCACCACAGGGUUAAAAGACCGAGUAAGCACCAUUCCCCUUCAUCUCGUUAUCAAUUUAAACCGAGUAUAGCCGGACUUGACAACAUCGAUGUUGCUAUAAGUACUUUAGAAAGAGCUAGAGGAAGUCGGCAUCGUGAACCCGUGCUUGCUCUGGGAGGUAUGAGUUUUGCAGAUUUCAGGAAACUUUUUGAAAGCGGAAAACGAAGAUAACAUAGACUUCCGGACGAUGCGAAUUGGGUUCGUCUUCUAACCUUACUUCGCGGAUGAUAUAAAAGAGACUGGUUGGAGAGUAAUUUAUUUUCGUACCAUAUUUUAUCAGUGAGACCCUCAGAUAAAGUAUUUGUAUAUUUUGCUCUUUCACUAUAUUUAUUAAGUUAUUCACUUUAUGUAAGCACAAUUGAACCCAAGACAUGUAAUAUCUCAAUAUUAUAUAGACGAUGGCGCAGUAUGCCAUUGUGAGAAACAUUCCUGCAGUUUUGAACAAUUUUUCGUAUCAUAUCAACGCCAGCAUGUAUGCCGUAUGCGCACGUCCAGGAACACCUACAUUUAGAAGAAGAGGCCCACCUCUCCUACAUCCUGCUGCACCCGACAGUUUCUCAUAGGAAACAAACUGACACUUAUCUCUUUACUGAAAGGUUCAAUUGUUUAAUGUGAAAGUCCCAUGAUUUGACAAAUACUGAACAGAUCAAGAUUCAAGCGCAAUUAGUUGAACCAAAUCCCAAAGGAGAAAUGACUCUGGUAUAGCAAAAACCAAAGAAUAGCUAUUCCGAAUGCUUGACUCGGUCAAACCGAUACAAUAGUGCUUGCACAAGUAUGCGAAGUACUUUUACCACUUGCUGGUCAUGAACUGAUCUACCCAAAGAUACUUAAGUCGAGCUUUAGUUCAUGUUUUAGUUUGUUUUGCGUUUUAUUUAUAGUAGGCUAAGCCUUAUUGUGUCAUAUUGAGGAGUAAAGGUACUCCAAAUUUCAGUCCCAGUUUUAGAUGAAGCCAGGGUUGCCUGAGCAUUGUUAUGUACAAAACGUUUGUAUAUAUAAGAUGUGCAUUGAAAAUAUAGAA